rnacentral:lncRNA from 1 species
UUCCAAAGCGGCCAUCUAUUUUCCAUCCAGCGUUCUAACUUAUCCCACAAUUGACUGACUACUUCACGAUCAGUAUGUCGUCGUAAUCUUUCCACAAAAAUGCCUUCUACAUUCCAGUCAUGUGUUGCAGGAUGAGGAGGAUCACCAACGUAUUGAACCAAAAAUCCUUUAACAUGAUGAAAAAGCUGGUGCGGUUCUGACCAUUUAUAAUCUCUAAACUGCCAAGCUUGGCCUGUUGUAAAAACGCAAACGACGCGAUCCCAAUAGUCAGGUUUAAACUUUUCUGUACCUUCUACGAUAAUAAAACGCAUUGUUCCAAAUUUUGAAUUCGAGCUUUUGUGGGACAGAGCAAUAAGCUCAGGACCACGACCACCACCAGCUGCAUGAGCGGCUUCAGCUGGAGGAACAAAAAUACCUUCUUCCAAAAAUUUCUUAAUAUUGUGCAUUGUCAAUAAAGACGAAGCGGAAGGUGAAAGCAGAAUAAUAGGAUCCCGAUCUAAAAAUUGAUUAGUUCUAGGCAUAAUAAAAAAAACACACUUCUUUUUUUAGCCGGUCUCUCUUGCUCAUCGGCGUGAGCGCUAGCAGUAGCCUUGUUUGCAUGAAUAUAGUCAAGAACAUCUUUUCUCAAGGAAAUAAAAUCCUAAAAAAAGUUAGGAUUUUGAGACUUUUGUUAAAUAAAUCGCAACAUACAAUUGGCUUAAUACCAUGCAACACAGAGUUAUGAUUGGAAACGGUUCGGGUAUUCUCAAAUAACCAAUUAACCUCUUCACUUUUCUUAUGCAAAUCAACAUCCAUUGAAGUAGCUGCGUCAGUUGACCCUUCAGGUUUAGGCUUUUCUACUCAUAAACAAUGUUAGCUUUGCCAAAUUUUUUAAAGAAAGAAGUUUUUAUAACGCAUACCCAAGCCAAUGAUAUGUUCACUGUCCGAAGAACCCUCUAACCAAGAAAUUAAGUCUGUUCUUUCCAAAAAAGUUAAAUUUUGAAUACCCAACUCGGAACAUUGUUGAAUGUACUCAGCAAUGCUCGUGUCUCGCAACAGCCAAGCAAAGUAAACACUUCGUAAAGAAAAAUGACUGUCAUUUUCCAAUUUAAUAAAUUUUGUGGGUUCGUCUAUUAAUAUUGGAGAUGUAUUUUCAUCAAACAGGAUAUACUGCGCAUCUUCUAUUUUUUCAACCUUAGACGUUGCUUCACUACUAGCAAGUAAUUUUACAUCUUUUUUCUCUGCAAUAGACUUUUUAAGAAGCAACAAAGAGUCCAUCUCCUUUGUUUUGUUGAUACUUAAUCAAGUAGGUAAAUGGCACGCGUCGGUCGGACCAUGAGGCAUUUACUCGAGUCUCUCAGAAGAUUGAAAUCGUUUGGAUGAAGGCAUGACGAGACCUAAAUUGCAAAGAAUUUUACUUUAUGUUUCUUUAUUAAUUUAAUAGUUUUCAGUCGACGUUUGGGACAAUAAGGUGUUUAGUGAUAAAUCUAAUCACUAUUAGCACUUGCAGGACGAUUAAAUCAAUUUCAAAUUUAUCGUUUAUUUGCUUGAAGAUACGCCUUACACCUCUGAAGUACAUAUACACUCUUUGCUGCCAUAUAGAACUACUUAUAGCGAAUGCACACCCCGAUAAACUUUUUACGACCGACUCAAACAGAAUAUUUGAAAGCUACCCACUAAACUACUCUAACCGAAUUGAUUUAAAAAGCUACCAAGUUUCUAGUAACUCUCAGUAAAUAAAAACAUUCAUACAGAAGUUCCCAUGCAAGUAAUGUAUCAAUAUAUAUUGGAAAUAAGCAUUAGGCUGAUUUCAAUAUUUACAAAAAAAGGAAAGAUUUGAUCGACAAACCGAAAUCCGCAAACACAAAAAUAUUUUACUCUUUAACGACAGUAGGUUCUGCAGCUUGCACUUCGGGCUUCAUAUGAGGAAAAAGCAAGACUUCACGGAUAGUGUUACUGUCAGUCAAAAACAUAACAAGACGGUCAACACCCAUUCCCCAACCACCGGUAGGAGGUAGACCAUACUCAAGGGCCGUGCAGAAGUUCUCAUCAAUGAUUUGAGCUUCAUCAUCACCCUGAGCCUUUUGACGAGCUUGUUCUUCGAAACGAGCUCGUUGGUCAAAAAUAUCGUUCAACUCAGUAUAAGCAUUGCAGAUUUCCUUAGUUGCAACGAAAGCUUCAAAGCGUUCACACAGGCCCGCAUCAGAACGAUGGUAUUUAGCCAAUGGAGACAUCAUUUGAGGAUGACCAAUAAUGAAAGUAGGAUUGAUACAUUCACUUUCAAUGAACUCGCCAACCAAUUUGUCCAAGAGUCGGGAGCACGUUUGAGGUGGGGCGCAUUCAACACCGUGCUUAGCACACAAGUCUCUUAAAAAUGCAUUGGCUUCAGGAGUAUGCAAUUGGUCACCAGGUGGGAAUUUAGUGUUAAGUUUCUCCUCCAAAUACUCAAUCAUGUUAAUACGACGCCAAGGACGACUAAAAUCAAGUUCCCACUUAGGGCCUUCAGGUCCUUCAGGAUGGUAGGGAACUUUGUAGGAACCGGUAAGGUCUUUCACAAGACCAGAAAGUAGCUCUUCAGUUGUGUCCAUGAGAUCAUAGUAAUCAGCAUAGGCUUGAUAAAAUUCAAUAGAUGUGAAUUCUGGGUUAUGGGUCAAGUCGGCACCUUCGUUACGAAAUUGACGGCCAAUUUCGUAAACCCGAUCCAAACCACCUACAACAAGCAUUUUAAGAUACAGUUCGGGAGCGAUACGCAUGUACAAAUCCAUAUCUAAAUCAUUAUGAUGAGUAACAAAAGGUUUGGCAGUAGCACCACCAGCAAUCAUGUUCAUCAUAGGAGUCUCCACCUCCAUAAAGUCACGGCUAUCGAAAAAGUGACGGAUGUAUUGAAUGAUACGGCUACGCAUAACAAAACGGUCACGAGUUGAGCGAUUCAUAAUAAGGUCUAAAUAACGUUGGCGGUGACGAAUUUCUAAAUCCUUCAAACCAUAAUGUUCUUUAGGAAGCAUGCGUAAACAAGGACUAAGUAAAACGCAUUGACGAGCAAAGAUUGAAAGUUCACCAUCAGCACGUCCCUUAGGGUUGGAACGACCAGGAUAUCCGCGAAUACCGAUAAUAUCACCACGUCUUAAAUGCUCAUGCUGAGCAGCAAAGUCGACAGUGUCAGCAUCUUGCGCUUGACACAUAACUUGAAGCUUUUUCCCAUCAGCAUGGAUUUCAUAGAAACGCAGCUUAUUACCAGCAGUACGAAGCCCAAGAACACGGCCGGCAACUGCAACUUCAACUUCAGGCUUAGUUUCACCACGAGCUAGUCCCUCAUAUUUGGCUAUAAAUUCAGGGAGGGUGAUGGUGACCUGGAACUUGUGGGGAUAAGGAUUAGGAUCCUUCGUUUGGCGUAAUUCCAUGAUAGUACGAGAACGAUUUUCAAAGUACUGGGAAGGGUCCAAAUCUUCUUCCUUCUUUGAAGAGCUCUUAGGAGCAGCAACAGGAGCAGACGCAGCCUUUUCGGCUUGCUUUUUUGCUUUAGCUAAUUCACGAGCACGUUGUUUUUCGCGCUUCUUUAACUCAGUCUUUGAGACUUGUUCACCAGUGACGGGAUCAAGGACUAAAGCCUUUACAGCCUGUGUAACUCCAUUCACCUGUUCCUCACUCAUUUUAGCUUACAAUUGCCGUUUUCAGGUUUCAGAGAAAUUUUCGUGGAGGAAGAGAAUAUUUACCCCUUGUAGAUGGUAGUUCCGUAACAUAAGAUAGUGUAAUAUAACACAUUCCGUUAUUUAGUUAAUAUUUUUUUAAAAUGAUUCUGUUGAUAUAUGCUAAACGUUUGAAGAUGUGAGUAAUAAAUGUGUAAAAUUUUUUAGAUUUACAACAUCGGCUGGGUUCACUGAUUUUGGAUCCUCCCUAUUAUGGUAUUAGACGAGACAUUAUAAUGGGUCUUUAAGAUGAACAAUUGUAU